GAGGCUGCAGAGGUCAGAGGGCUUAGAAACUGGCAGAGUCAGAUGAGCUUUUGCCCAGAAACCGGACAGAAUGGCAACUAGACGGUAGGGUUGCUAUGACCAUCUCCUGUCCAGCUUCUUCCUUCUGGAGAUGGCAGUUGGUCAGACAGGCCAGGGCUAGCAGGAGGUUGUUGAAGAGAUCCAGUGAUAUGGUGAGGCUGUGGAUGGGCUGGUGUCUAUGUGUGGGAAGGUGUAGAUACCAAAAGCAGAAAUCUGGUCAGCCUGUAAGAAGUACAUUGCAGUUACUGCAAUAAGUGGAAUAAAUCCCACUUACAUGUCCCAGUAAACUGGGAAUAAUGUCAAGCUCUUCUCUGGACUGGAAGACAUUCCAGGCUUGGAAGUCAGCCUGAAUCAAAUUUCUGCUCCCCUUGCACCUCCAUGGUGUAGAAAGAAGGCAAAUGCAGACACGUAGGCUAGAUGUUUCUAUAUGCUUGUACUAUAUGAAUCCGUGCGGCACAAGAUGCAGCUAUGCUAAGCCGUGAUGUUUACUUACCCGUGUAUGAGCUUCAUUUGCUACCAGCGUCUUCCUCCUGAUGAGUUAGAAAAACCAUAAACUCAGAACGUGCACUUUUCCUGCAGGGCCACUGAGUGUCACCAUCGCUCCGUGGCUUGCUCUCAAGAUGCCGUUUCUCCGGCAAAACUCCUUUUGUUGAAAUGGGUUAGAAAGGAAAAAAUGUAAUGGGAAUGAAAAUGAGAUGCUUCUUGCUGAGAUACCCAGAGCUGGGAAGAUCUGCACCUACAAUGCGAGCAAGCAGUGCUACCUAUGGAAUGAAUCCUGGUUUAUAUUUAGGCGUAGCCCUUGACAGGAUUCCAGCCAGACCCUAUAAAGCCAGACCCACAAAUUAUAGCAGGAAUCUCGAGUGACAACAGUUAUGGGAUGGAAAAGUGCUUCAUCAGGAAACACUAAAAAGGCCAGAAUUCCACCAUUUGCUGAGCAGAAUGAACAGAAUUUGGUGAGCAGAUGAGGGACUGAGAUUUACAAAAAUAAAGAAGGUGAUGGAUAAA
rnacentral:lncRNA from 1 species